rnacentral:rRNA from 1 species
CACGUAGGGCGCAAGCGUUGUCCGGAAUUAUUGGGCGUAAAGAGCUCGUAGGCGGUCUGUUGCGUCCGCUGUGAAAACUCGGGGCUUAACCCCGAGCCUGCAGUGGAUACGGGCAGACUAGAGGUAGGUAGGGGAGAAUGGAAUUCCCGGUGUAGCGGUGAAAUGCGUAGAUAUCGUGAGGAAGACCAGUGGCGAAGGCGAUUCUCUGGGCAAUUCCUGACACUGAGGCACGAAGGCCAGGGGAGCAAACGGG